rnacentral:rRNA from 1 species
CGUGUAGCCGGGCCGACAAGUCAGAUGUGAAAUCCGCGGGCUUAACCCGCGAACUGCAUUUGAAACUGUUGGUCUUGAGUAUCGGAGAGGUCAUCGGAAUUCCUAGUGUAGCGGUGAAAUGCGUAGAUAUUAGGAAGAACACCAGUGGCGAAGGCGGAUGACUGGACGACAACUGACGGUGAGGCGCGAAAGCGAGGGGAGCGAACG